rnacentral:rRNA from 1 species
GAUGAACGCUGGCGGCGUGCCUAAUACAUGCAAGUCGAGCGAACGGACGAGAAGCUUGCUUUUCUGAUGUUAGCGGCGGACGGGUGAGUAACACGUGGAUAACCUACCUAUAAGACUGGGAUAACUUCGGGAAACCGGGGCUAAUACCGGAUAAUAUUUUGAACCGCAUGGUUCAAAAGUGAAAGACGGUCUUGCUGUCACUUAUAGAUGGAUCCGCGCUGCAUUAGCUAGUUGGUAAGGUAACGGCUUACCAAGGCAACGAUGCAUAGCCGACCUGAGAGGGUGAUCGGCCACACUGGAACUGAGACACGGUCCAGACUCCUACGGGAGGCAGCAGUAGGGAAUCUUCCGCAAUGGGCGAAAGCCUGACGGAGCAACGCCGCGUGAGUGAUGAAGGUCUUCGGAUCGUAAAACUCUGUUAUUAGGGAAGAACACAUGUGUAAGUAACUGUGCACAUCUUGACGGUACCUAAUCAGAAAGCCACGGCUAACUACGU